CAACCGUAGCUCCUGGAGUCAGUCUGUACCAUCUUAUAAAGCUAUCAGUUUUCAAAAUUAAAAAGAUGGCGUGGCAGAAACAUUUAUACUCCAGAAGAACAUCAUAAAUAUCAAACCACUACUUCCAAGAAACUGCAGGAUGCACGGCAGCACUCUUUUUCUCAUUUUGGAUCAUUUGUGGAAUUCAUUUUGCAAACUGCCUUUUCUUGUUUCCAGUGGAGUAUAAGGAAGAAGUCACCUGGGACGGUGCAGCAACCAGGUUCACACAGCAGCCCCACAGUAUAACAAAGAACACCCCCAAACGUGUACAGAGGUGAGAGAACUUGCCUUCCAGAGAGCACCGGGAAGAUGACUGCCUCAUAGGUUCAACUUAGGGGUUAUGGUCUCUGUGAAGCCU
rnacentral:lncRNA from 1 species